GCGGAACGCAUGGCCUGGCGGAGAAGCAGCCCAGUCCCAAACACACACAAUGUGUAGCCGCCGCCGUUGGCUAGGCUAGCUUUAUAUUGUGAUGUUCCCCCAUACAAGAAUGCACCCUCCUCCCCACCAUCAUUAGAUAACCAGCUUCAAAGAAAGACAGAGUUCCAGUACCCUUCCUAAUUGUGUAGAAGUAGAACGGUGGUGGUUCCGAAUGUUUUUAAACCAGAAGGGUGUAUCCCUUCGGUUGUAAGCGUUCAGCUCAGGUACCUCACAGAGAUUUUUAUAGUGUAUGUUCACACACACACACACACACACACACACACACACACACACACACACACUUAAAUGGUACAGUUAUGAGACACUACUCCAGUCUCUGACUUACAACCAGACUAAGUUACUCAUGAGUACUCCUAUCAGAGGCGUAACUAUAAUAGGGCAAGGGGAGACAGUUGUCUGGGGGUCCACUGCCUUGGGGGGCCCCCAGAGGCAAGUCACAUGACUGACUCCCCCAGCCGCACACCUGCCCGGGCUUCCUUCAGUUGUAUUCAUUCUCCAAAACUGAUGUGAGUGUGAAGACCUGGAACUACCAGAACAGCAUAUCCUUCUCUAGUACCAUUAAAUGACUUGCAUCGUCCACAAUUUACAAAACCUUUUAAAAAAUAAUUUAGGAUGAUGUUCUAUUGUGGCACAUAGGUGUGUGUGUGUGUGUGUGUGUGUGUGUGUGUGUGUAUAUAUAUAAAUUUUUACUAUGCUUUUUGUUACCACUAUUCAGCCUCAUUUAAGGUUUCUUUACUUCAUGAGUGGAGCUUGGGGGGGCGUCCUUUUUAAAAUCUUGUAUCUGGGCCCAUUACAACCUUGCUACGCCCCUGACUCCUAUUGAACAUUUAAAUUUGUAUGUGUGUACCUGUGUACACAUACAAACACAAAUGUGAGUGUUACAGUUAGGGAGACAGGCUACUCCAGUUACUGUUACUCAUAAGCAGUUGUAUUGAAAAUAAUGGGACAAGUUUACUUGUCCUGUUAAUUUCAAUGAAGGUACUCUGCUUAUUUUCUGAAGUCUGUCAGUCAGGCUGAGGGGAGCAGUAAGCUGAACUUCAGCACAUAGCCAGCCAAUCAGGAGCAUAGGAGGAGGGAUCAAAGUCCUCUCUUGUACAUUAAUGCAGUAUGCACAGGAAUCUGUCCCCUCUAUCUGCCUGUUCAUUAGACUUAUAGCCUGCCACACCCCAAGGUCUUAGGGCAGUUAACAGUAUGUUUGUUAUUGUACUAUGUUUUCUAUAUUUCAUGGCCACCCAAAGCCAUUUCGGAGAGACCAUGUUACUCCUUUACUGAUGGAGCUACACGGGCUGCCAAUAGAUUUCCGGACAAAAUACAAAGUGCUAAUUAUAACUUAUAAAGCCCUAAAGGACUUAGACCCUGGGUAUUUAAGAGAGCGUCUUCUUCACUAUGAGUCCCACUGCCCAUUGAGGUCAUCUGAGGAGGUCCGUCUCCAGUUACUGCCAGCUCAUUUGGUGGCUACACAGAGGCGGGCCUUCUCGGUCACUGCCCCGAAAUUGUGGAAUGCACUCCCUGCUGAGAUAUGAUCCUCCCCAUCUCUGGCAAUUUUAAAAAAACACUUGAAAACCCAUCUUUUUGCCCAAGCUUUCUCAGCUUCCUAAUUUUUUUUUUUGGGGGGGGUGUUAAUCUCUGGUUUAUUUUUAAAUUGUUAAAUUGUUUUAAGUUUUUUGUAUAUGUUUUUAACUGGUUUUAUGUUAUUGUAAACUGCCCAGAGACGAAAGUUUGGGGCGGUGUACAAAUUUGAUAAAUACAUUUUGAAGAUGUACAGGCUUGAGCUUCAGGCAUCUAAUCUCUAGGGGGAAAUAAUUCCAAAUCUGUGGGGCAGCAUUAAAAACAUCUUCCUUCAUGUCCUUGCAGACAUAUAGAUGAUUUGGCACACAGAUGGUAUACUUAAGAAAGAUUCCCCUGUGGAUUUUAAAGGUUAUGAUGGACAUGGAGGGAGUUGGAGACAGUCUCUUAGUUAUGUUGGGCUCACAGUGUUUAGAGGUUUAUAGAUUGUCAGUCACUAACACUUCAAUUUGAGCUUAUUAUUAUUAACCUUGAUCAUGUUUAUGUACUGUAAUCUUAUUGCAAUAAAAAGAAAAGAAAACAUUA